rnacentral:sRNA from 1 species
GAUUAGGCUCCCUGGCUUUUGCCAUCUGUGUACAUUGUUUGAAUAGUCAAUACAGAAACCCAUUCUUUUUACAGUUUGAGUUCUUGAUUGUGAGUGUGUGAGUGAUUGUUUUGGAUAGGUUUCAUACCCAGAAACCUAUCAAGGGGUUACUAAACAAUUUAAUGAUUUUUUUAAUUAACUUAAACAAAUGAGACUAAAGGGAUAAGGCAAAACAAAAAGACCAAAAUUUUGGCUUAAAGCAUGAAAAACUUGACCGAUUCCUUGAGAAGCUACUUUAGAUCCAUUAGCUAGGAAUAUGAAAUUAGGUGUUAUAGAAAAGGAGAGAGAAGGAAACAAAGAGAUAUUACUAGAGAUAGAAAGAAUUAAUAUAAAAGAAAGUAGAUUUUUAUUCAAUUGAUUCAAUACAGUUUAUCCACUUCUAUAUGUACAGAACUCAAACUCUAAAGUAAUAAUUACAAGAGAUCUCUAGAAUCUUCUAACAACUUCUAGUAAUUUAAUAUCCUACCAACAACUUCCAAUACUGCAUUUAAUAUCCAACUAAGAACACUCCCCCUCCAAUUGGUGAAUGAAUGAAUGUGUUAGGAAUAAAAGAGGGAAGUAACAUAAUACCUAAAUGAAUG